GGAGAGGUGGCAGAGUGGUCGAAUGCGCCGCACUCGAAAUGCGGUGUACGGGCAACCGUACCGUGGGUUCGAAUCCCACCCUCUCCGCCA
rnacentral:tRNA from 65 species